GAUGAACGCUGGCGGCGUGCCUAAUACAUGCAAGUCGAGCGAACGGACGAGAAGCUUGCUUCUCUGAUGUUAGCGGCGGACGGGUGAGUAACACGUGGAUAACCUACCUAUAAGACUGGGAUAACUUCGGGAAACCGGAGCUAAUACCGGAUAAUAUUUUGAACCGCAUGGUUCAAAAGUGAAAGACGGUCUUGCUGUCACUUAUAGAUGGAUCCGCGCUGCAUUAGCUAGUUGGUAAGGUAACGGCUUACCAAGGCAACGAUGCAUAGCCGACCUGAGAGGGUGAUCGGUCACACUGGAACUGAGACACGGUCCAGACUCCUACGGGAGGCAGCAGUAGGGAAUCUUCCGCAAUAGGCGAAAGCCUGACGGAGCAACGCCGCGUGAGUGAUGAAGGUCUUCGGAUCGUAAAACUCUGUUAUUAGGGAAGAACAUAUGUGUAAGUAACUGUGCACAUCUUGACGGUACCUAAUCAGAAAGCCACGGCUAACUACGUG
rnacentral:rRNA from 1 species